rnacentral:rRNA from 1 species
UUUUAUGAGAGUUUGAUCCUGGCUCAGGACGAACGCUGGCGGCGUGCCUAAUACAUGCAAGUCGAACGCUUCUUUUUCCACCGGAGCUUGCUCCACCGGGAAAAGAAGAGUGGCGAACGGGUGAGUAACACGUGGGUAACCUGCCCAUCAGAAGGGGAUAACACUUGGAAACAGGUGCUAAUACCGUAUAACAAUCAAAACCGCAUGGUUUUGAUUUGAAAGGCGCUUUCGGGU